rnacentral:lncRNA from 1 species
CUCGCGCGAGAAGCUAGGCAUUGCCAAGCGCAGGGCUGGUGGAUUUACUCGGGAUCAUUUGCACUCUGCGUGGUUGGCACGGCUAACUUUCCCCCUCCCCACACCUUCACUCCUUCAACUUCUUUGCCUUUCCCAACUGCGCGCUUUCCUCUGGGUUUUCCAUCCGGUGGCUUAGUCGACCUCAACAAAGAAACCUCUCUCUCUCUCUCUCUCUCUCUCCCUCCCUCCCUCCCUCUCCUUUAAUUCACGAAUUGGGUCCAGGUGCCGCUAUUUGCAAGGGGAACGCGCCACCUGCUGUUCUAACUGGGAGAGACAGGAAGGCUUCGCUACUGUAUAUUGAACUGCAAGCCUAAGGUCGCUGUUGGAGCGGAAAAAACGCUACUUAUCCUUCGGACAGAACCAAAAGUCCAGAAGAAGUCUUCCCAAUGUUAUAUCUUGACCGCUGUUGUAAUAUACCUGAUGUUCCUCACCGCAGGCUUUGGCUUUCUUGCCUAUAAAGUCAAUGAGAUUCGCAAUGAAAUCGAUUCAGAUAAAUCAACUAGCUUGCAUUCAACAGAUAAACCAAUAAAACAGGAUCGUGUUGGUGAAAAAAACUUAGAACAAGGUCAAGAAACCUUAACCUUAAAGAAAGAAAUCCUCAUCAUUAAGCAGAGCAACCAGUAUUUAGAAUGGAAAAUGGCCAACGUAACAGAACAACUUGAAAAAAGGCGAAAUCAAGGACUUCCAGGACCUCCCGGUGAGUGCAUUUAUUCCAAUCAUCUUUUAA